UACGAACGCUGGCGGCAGGCCUAACACAUGCAAGUCGAACGCGUCCUUCGGGACGAGUGGCAGACGGGUGAGUAACGCGUGGGAACGUACCCUUUGGUUCGGAACAACAGCGGGAAACUGCUGCUAAUACCGGAUAAGCCCUUCGGGGGAAAGAUUUAUCGCCAGAGGAUCGGCCCGCGUUAGAUUAGCUUGUUGGUGAGGUAAUGGCUCACCAAGGCUACGAUCUAUAGCUGGUCUGAGAGUAUGAUCAGCCACACUGGGACUGAGACACGGCCCAGACUCUUACGGGAGGCAGCAGUGGGGAAUCUUGGACAAUGGGCGAAAGCCUGAUCCAGCCAUGCCGCGUGAAUGAUGAAGGCCCUAGGGUUGUAAAAUUCUUUCGACGGGGAGGAUAAUGACGGUACCCGUAGAAGAAGCUCCGGCUAACUUCGUGCCAGCAGCCGCCGCCG
rnacentral:rRNA from 1 species